UACGUAGGGUGCGAGCGUUGUCCGGAAUUACUGGGCGUAAAGGGCUCGUAGGUGGCCGACUAAGUCAGCCGUGAAAUCCCUCAGCUUAACUGGGGAACUGCGUCUGAUACUGGAUGGCUUGAGUUUGGGAGAGGGAUGCGGAAUUCCAGGUGUAGCGGUGAAAUGCGUAGAUAUCUGGAGGAACACCGGUGGCGAAGGCGGCAUCCUGGACCAACACUGACACUGAGGAGCGAAAGCCAGGGGAGCAAACGGG
rnacentral:rRNA from 1 species